rnacentral:rRNA from 1 species
UCCGGUUGAUCCUGCCGGAGGCCACUGCUAUCGGGCUCCGACUAAGCCAUGCGAGUUUAGGGGCUCCUUCGGGAGCACCGGCGGACGGCUCAGUAACACGUGGACAACCUACCCUCGGGUGGGGGAUAACCUCGGGAAACUGAGGCUAAUACCCCAUAGGCCUCGGGUACUGGAAGGUCCCGAGGCUGAAAGCUCCGGCGCCCGAGGAUGGGUCUGCGGCCUAUCAGGUAGUUGGUGGUGUAAAGGACCACCAAGCCUACGACGGGUACGGGCCCUGAGAGGGGGAGCCCGGAGAUGGACUCUGAGACACGAGUCCAGGCCCUACGGGGCGCAGCAGGCGCGAAACCUUCGCAAUGCGCGAAAGCGCGACGAGGGGAGCCCGAGUGCCCUUCCUUCGGGGAGGGCUUUUCUGGAGCCUAAAAAGCUCCAGGAAUAAGGGCUGGGCAAGACGGGUGCCAGCCGCCGCGGUAAUACCCGCAGCUCGAGUGGUGGCCACUAUUAUUGAGCCUAAAGCGUCCGUAGCCGGACCCGUAAAUCCCUGGGUAAAUCCUGGCGCUUAACGUCAGGAAUUCCGGGGAGACUGCGGGUCUUGGGACCGGGAGAGGCCGGAGGUACUCCCGGGGUAGCGGUGAAAUGCUGUAAUCCUGGGGGGACCACCUGUGGCGAAAGCGUCCGGCUUGAACGGCUCCGACGGUGAGGGACGAAGGCCAGGGGAGCAAACCGGAUUAGAUACCCGGGUAGUCCUGGCUGUAAACGCUGCCCGCUUGGUGUUGCCGGUCUUUCGGGGGCCGGCAGUGCCGGAGCGAAGGUGUUAAGCGGGCCGCUUGGGAAGUACGGCCGCAAGGCUGAAACUUAAAGGAAUUGGCGGGAGAGC